GACGAACGCUGGCGGCGUGCUUAACACAUGCAAGUCGAACGGAAAGGCCCUGCUUUUGUGGGUUGCUCGAGUGGCGAACGGGUGAGUAACACGUGAGUAACCUGCCCUUGACUUUGGGAUAACUUCAGGAAACGGGGGCUAAUACCGGAUAGGAUCUCCUGCGGCAAGGUGGGGGUGGGAAAGUGUCGGCGGUUGGGGAUGGACUCGCGGCUUAUCAGCUUGUUGGUGGGGUAGUGGCUUACCAAGGCUUUGACGGGUAGCCGGCCUGAGAGGGUGACCGGCAACAUUGGGACUGAGAUACGGCCCAGACCCCUACGGGAGGCAGCAGUGGGGAAUAUUGCACAAUGGGCGGAAGCAUGAUGCAGCAACGCCGCGUGCGGGAUGCCGGCCUUCGGGUUGUAAACCGCUUUCGCCUGUGACGAAGCGUGAGUGACGGUAAUGGGUAAAGAAGCACCGGCUAACUACGUG
rnacentral:rRNA from 1 species